rnacentral:lncRNA from 1 species
CACAAAUGUUGCAAACUUUUGCAAGCCAGUGCUGGGCUUGCGGGAGAGGGCAAUGGGGGACGGACCCGAGCGUUGACAGCCAGACGACUCCAACCCCACCUCCCCCUUGAUUGCAUGUUUUAUUUUCUGCAAAGAAGAGCUAUCCAAAUUAAAUACGAUUCCCCCCACCAAAAAGAAACCGAGAUGGGGGAGUGGGGGUAAAGAAACUUUUAAAGCGGUAGUGUCCUUUUAAGAAGGGGGAGGGGGUCUGUUUGUGGCUACUCGCUUUCUCGGUUACCUUUUCUGCUUUUGACAGUUUCCCUCAUACCCAUCCCCACCACCCCGCGGUAGGAAUCGAGAAGUGUUCGAAUCCUCCCUCUCCCGGAAAAGCUUGGAGGUGACUUUAUAAUCUCUAGGCACCGACAUGUCUCGCUGAAGUCAAGGAAGGAGAACUCACAAGCUAAAGUGUGUUUCACUGGGUGAGGUAUUUGGGGGGUAGGGUGGGAAAAGAAUGGUGAAAUGGGGCAAGGGACUCGUGAGCUAAGAAGUUAAGACGCCCAUUGGGGGAUGGGAAUUGUGGGCUGUGGGUGAAGGUGGGGACAGAGACUCUGUGUGCCAAAGCGGCCUCAGCAAGGAUCUGGAAUUUUAAAUUACCUUUAACAAGGACGCUGAAAACGAGGCACGUUGACACUUUGAGAAGUUACGAGGAACUUGUCGAGACUGCCAAUCGGCAGAGGCAGGUGAGGGAAUAUUUAGAAGCACAGACGGCCAGAGCAGCUCUGAAGGGCAGAGAGAGCAACUUGCGGGGGCGUUGAGGGACUUGGUGGGUGUGCUUAUUGACGCUUCCAAUUAGUUUUAGAGAAACCUGAAGAACUGGACAAAGACGGAGGAAAGGCAGCCAGAUGUGAUCCUCAACUUGCAGAAGCGGAGAGCCUCUCUCAUCCCUUAGGAACCAUGGUAGUCACGGAUAGGAAUGAGCAGGUGAAAACCGAGCGGAUCCUGAAACACCCAGUCUCAGGGGAACCACGUAUGCUUAUCAGGCCUCAAACCUCUUAAAUAAACUGCAUCUCUUUCCAUUUUUAGUUUUCAGUCAGGAAACCAGUGGAUGAUGAAAAGGCCCUGAUAUAGUCUGUGCUCCACGGGGGCAUCCACAUGCCAAUGAUAUUCUCUCUAAAAGGGCAGGGCAGCUGGGAGGGUGAACUGCCCGUAACUCUCAAUUGCCCAGGUAACGAAGUAUGGAGAGCGCUAAGCCAGAAGAAAUAACUUGAUUCUUGUGAUGGCGCUCCGAGUGAGUUGGCUGACGUGACAUGUAUGGAACGGCUACGUUAUGUUAGCUCACUCUGGUUCUCUCUCCCACUUGGGGUGAGCACGCAUGGACAGAAUGUGGGAACCUGAGGAUUGUGUGCAGAGGAACCAAGAGCUUCACCCAGAUAGUAUAACAUUUCACAGUGUCAGAGAUGACAGCCAGAGAUUGGUGGGGUCCACUGAGAUUUCUCAAGACCCUACAGAGCUACUUGGAAAAUGGAAGCUAUGCUGAAAGAACUUCUGGAACAUUCUGAACCUUGCCUUUGGACCUGAGUGUGGGGCUGUACUUUAGACAUGGCAUGGAUACACAUUCCUCACGUUGCCACUACCCUUUUGUUAGGCAAAAUGGGAGGGUGAGAGGCUGUCCUGAGACCUCUCUAGUCCAGCUCCACCCCAGGGGUGAAUCAGAGGCACCUGCAAGCCUGGGAUCUGUCUGAGAUUAUAUCCCUAGGCAGCGGCAGUGAGGCUGUGACCAAAGCCCAGAUCUUCUGCUCUCUCAUCUCAUACCCCUUUCCACUCAUGUGCAGGUCCUCAGAAGUCCCUGGGGGGGGGGGGGAAUACCAAGUCCCUCCCCUCCAGGAAAAUUACCCUGAGGAUAUUUAAAUGAAUAUACAAGGUCAUCUAACCCGGUG